rnacentral:rRNA from 1 species
GACGAACGCUGGCGGCGUGCCUAAUACAUGCAAGUUGAGCGCUGAAGGUUGGUACUUGUACCAACUGGAUGAGCAGCGAACGGGUGAGUAACGCGUGGGGAAUCUGCCUUUGAGCGGGGGACAACAUUUGGAAACGAAUGCUAAUACCGCAUAAAAACUUUAAACACAAGUUUUAAGUUUGAAAGAUGCAAUUGCAUCACUCAAAGAUGAUCCCGCGUUGUAUUAGCUAGUUGGUGAGGUAAAGGCUCACCAAGGCGAUGAUACAUAGCCGACCUGAGAGGGUGAUCGGCCACAUUGGGACUGAGACACGGCCCAAACUCCUACGGGAGGCAGCGGUAGGGAAUCUUCGGCAAUGGACGAAAGUCUGACCGAGCAACGCCGCGUGAGUGAAGAAGGUUUUCGGAUCGUAAAACUCUGUUGGUAGAGAAGAACGUUGGUGAGAGUGGAAAGCUCAUCAAGUGACGGUAACUACCCAGAAAGGGACGGCUAACUACGUG